rnacentral:rRNA from 1 species
UACCAGCACCCCGAGUGGUCGGGACGAUUAUUGGGCCUAAAGCAUCCGUAGCCGGUCCUACAAGUCUUCCGUUAAAUCCACCUGCUUAACAGAUGGGCUGCGGAAGAUACUAUAGGGCUAGGAGGCGGGAGAGGCAAGCGGUACUCAGUGGGUAGGGGUAAAAUCCUCUGAUCCACUGAAGACACCAGUGGCGAAGGCGGCUUGCCAGAACGCGCUCGACGGUGAGGGAUGAAAGCUGGGGGAGCAAACCGG